AACUCAAUCGUACACAUGACAUCUAGUCAUAUUUAACUCCAAAACACUAACCAAUCUUCUUAUUGCUCAUAAACUUUGAUGGUAUAGCCGAAGUCCGUAUGAGUCUUUUGCUUUGUAUCUUCUAACUUGGAAACACUACUUUAGCU
rnacentral:sRNA from 1 species